UACGUAGGUGGCAAGCGUUGUCCGGAAUUAUUGGGCGUAAAGCGCGCGCAGGCGGCCUUUUAAGUCUGAUGUGAAAGCCCACGGCUCAACCGUGGAAGGUCAUUGGAAACUGAAAGGCUUGAGUACAGAAGAGGAAAGCGGAAUUCCACGUGUAGCGGUGAAAUGCGUAGAGAUGUGGAGGAACACUAGUGGCGAAGGCGGCUUUCUGGUCUGUAACUGACGCUGAGGCGCGAAAGCGUGGGGAGCAAACAGG
rnacentral:rRNA from 1 species